rnacentral:lncRNA from 1 species
CUGGCCCGGCAGGACCUCUCCCUGACCCUCCCUGUGUCCUGUGGAGGGGGGGGUGCGGGCCCCCCCUCCCUCCCCCUCUCCUGCAUGACUUCCCCAGUGGAGGCUGCAUGGGUGUGUGCUUGUGUGAGCAUGUGCACGUGUGCUGUGUCCCCGUCAGGGUUGGGGUUCUCUCUGGGGACCCCGACCUGCUUCCCUGCCCUCCUUCCCUUGGGGCGAACAAGGAACCCCCUCAGCCCUUGGGGUCCCUAAGUGUCUGUGUGACCUCCCCAAGUCAUUCCCACCACGAGGACCUCAGGUUCCGCAGACCUCUCCCCAUCCUGCCGCCUCCGGCCCACGAUGACACGCAUGCCCCAUGAUCCUCGAGGGGUUUGCUUCCAUGUUUACACUCCCUCCAUCAGGGUAAUUCACGGCCUGACGUUAGGGUAACUCAGGGCUUGGACGGGGAGCCCUGGACGUCAGUGGGGUCUCCCCCCCCACAUCCCUCCCAGUUCUGCCCCCCCCUCAGGGAGUUUGGGGACAGCCAAGUAAUGGAGCAGUGAGACUGGCUUGGCUGAGGAUGCUGGGAGAGGUGGGGAGCGGGCCCCAGAGCCUACGGACUGGCGUCUGUUGGUGGGGGGGCUGAUGGUAAUAGUGUCUAGGGGAAUGGCCUGGCCCUAAGGGGGGGCUCUCAGUGACUGACAGCUCCUGCCUGGCCCUGGGGGUGGGGCUCUUAGCUCCUGCUGAUCCUUGAGCCUCCGUUGGCCCCCCUCCCCAUGACACCCUCCUACCUGGGGUUCAGGAAGGCUGGGACACCUGGCUCCUGAAUGGGGGGCCUCUGGGCAGCCAGCCCCCCCAGCGACCCCGCCAGUGCAGGGGGUGAGUGAGGGCGGGUCUUCAAGGGCAAAGGCCUCCAUUUGAGGUCUGACUGCCCUUUGCUCACCGAGCAUUCAGUGGGGACAAACGUGGUCCCGCGGCGCCUUCAUGGCUGUUGUGUGGAAAGGCCGUGAAGGACAGAAAUGGGGGAUGUCGUCAUCGUCAUUGUCAUCGUCAUCAUCAUCAUCCUCACCAUUAUUGUUAUUUCAGUUACGGCAGCAGCCCGGGGAAGGAAGCGGCGGCCCAGGGAGGCUAAUGAGUGCGCCCACAACAACGGGGGCUGCUCCCACAUCUGCAAGGACCUGAAGAUCGGCUAUUCCUGCGAGUGCCCGCCCGGCUAUGAGCUGCUGGACAAGAAGACGUGCGGAGGUGAGGGUGAUGAGCUUCUCCCCCCGGCGCCCCCCGCCAGACCCCAGUCCCCAGGGAGCUUCUCCCAAAAGUCGCGUC